AAACUUUCAACAAUGGAUCUCUUUGUUCCGGCAUCGAUGAAGAACGCAGCGAAAUGCGAUAACUAAUGUGAAUUGCAGAAUUCCGUGAAUCAUCGAGUCUUUGAACGCACAUUGCGCCCCCUGGUAUUCCGGGGGGCAUGCCUGUCCGAGCGUCAUUGC
rnacentral:rRNA from 1 species